rnacentral:rRNA from 1 species
CAGUAACACGUAGUCAAUCUAACCUAUGGACGGGGAUAACCUCGGGAAACUGAGGAUAAUACCCGAUAGAUCAUAAUGCCUGGAACGGUUUAUGGUCCAAAUGAUUCGUCGCCGUAGGGUGGGACUGCGGCCUAUCAGCUUGUUGGUGAGGUAAUGGCCCACCAAGGCUAUUACAGGUACGGGCUCUGAGAGGAGAAGCCCGGAGAUGGGUACUGAGACACGGACCCAGGCCCUAUGGGGCGCAGCAGGCGAGAAACCUUUGCAAUGUGCGCAAGCACGACAAGGUUAAUCCGAGUGUUUCCUGCUAAAGGAAUCUUUUGUUAGUUCUAAAACCACUAUUGAAUAAGGGGUGGGCAAGUCCUGGUGUCAGCCGCCGCGGUAAAACCAGCACCUCAAGUGGUCAGGAUGAUUAUUGGGCCUAAAGCAUCCGUAGCCUGUUUUGUAAGUUUCCGGUUAAAUCCAUUAGCUCAACUAAUGGGCUGCCGAAAAUACUGCAAAACUAGGGAGUGGGAGAGGUAGACGGUACUCGGUAGGAAGGGGUAAAAUCCUUUGAUCUAUUGAUGACCACCUGUGGCGAAGGCGGUCUACCAAAACACGUUCGACGGUGAGGGAUGAAAGCUGGGGGAGCAAACCGGAUUAGAUACCCGGGUAGUCCCAGCUGUAAACGAUGCAGACUCGGUGAUGCCCUGGCUUGUGGCCAGUGCAGUGCCGCAGGGAAGCCGUUAAGUUUGCCGCCUGGGAAGUACGUACGCAAGUAUGAAACUUAAAGGAAUUGGCGGGGGAGCACCACAAGGGGUGAAGCCUGCGGUUC